ensembl:lncRNA OTUD6B-AS1 OTUD6B antisense RNA 1 (head to head)
AGGGGAAGUCUAGGGUGAUCCAGAUAAGUCACGCCUUGAGAUUCCCCAGAAUCGACCCGCCACGCGCCCUUCCCCCAGUCGCGGCGGCUUCCAGAUUCCCACUUCCUUCCGCCUCACCUUGCAACUCCUUCUUCUCUUUGCGAUGCCUUCUCAGCAGCUGCUCUUCCUCAUCAAGCUCUUCGGUCAAUACCGCCUCCAUGACGACCAGGUACCCCAGCACACGCGCUAGAAGAAACCUGCACCGGCUAGUAGGCACCUUCCACCCCUCAACCCUCACCCGGGGCUCCAUUGGCUACGGCUGGGACCCAGCCCCGCCUUCAAGGCGGCACCGGAUCUAAGCAAAGCCACUGCAAAGACGAGAAACUUAAAUGGGGUGCUGCGCGUGCGCGCUACCGUGACCCUGCCGUGAUGGGCGGGGCGGCAGGGGAGGAACCAGACUGCGAGCGGAGAAGCGGAGUUUGCAGCCUCGGAAUUGGCUAGAGCGCCAGAGCCGAGUCAGCCAUAAAGCUACGCGCUAGGCUCUUGGCCCUGACGUGAGGCGCGCAGAGAUGGCGUAACGGGAAUAGUUUUCAACGUCUAUUUCAUUCCCUGCUUCAGAGGACCUCUUUAAUCUUUGAUUUUGGUCCCUGUUUCUAAGAAAAGCAACUGAAAAGGUCGUAAUACCGCCCCUGAGAAAAAAGGAGCAGCGCUAAAUAAUCGAGAAAAUGCCUCCUCUUGAAACGGAUAUAGAGAUGGAAACAAGAUAUAAGAAGGAUUGAGAAUCAUAUAAUACAGGAGCUUAAACACCUAUGCGCGAUGAUAAAGAGGGUACUAUUAGAGCGCUUGGAAAAUACCAGGAAGUUGAGAGAGUUAACAGAAGGGCGCACGCUGGAUUGGCCACAAAAUCGAAUUACUGAAGUAAGUGCAAAACGACAAAUUGUCACAGAAUACAGAGAAAAGGGGAAAAGAAAUUAAGAGGAGAAAAAGAGAGAUCUAGAGGGCCGGUCCAGGAGAUACAAUCUAUGCAUAAUAGGAAUACCUGAAACUGAGGACAGAGCAAGUGGAGCUGAAACAAUAAAGGAUCUACUUGAAAAAAUUUUCCAGAAUUGAAGAACGAACUAGAUCUACAAAUGGAAAAGGCUCAUAGGAUACCUUUAAAGUUUAAUGAAAAGAAAGCAGCAUCUAGACAUAUCCGGGUGACGUUUUUGAAUUUCAAAGACGAAACAUUUUACAAGCAUCCAGUCAGAGAAAGCAGGUUACUUACAAAGGGGCAAAAGUCAGGCUGACCUCAGAUUUUUCUCCUGCAAUUCUAAAUGCCAGAAGACAGUGGAACAAUAUCUAGAGUGUUAAGGGAAAAUAAUUUUGAGCCAAGAAUUAUAUACUCUGCCAAGUUAUCAUUUCUUUACAAAGGAAACUGGAAGACAUUCUUAGAUAUACAGGGGUUAGGAAAGUAUAUCAACCAAGAACUUUCCCUGAAAAUUUUGCUGAAGGAUUUACUGCAGCUAACAGAGAACCUGAAUUAAAAUAAGAAUAGGGAGGCAAUUGUAUGAAAGAACUGAUGGGCCACUACUGAUUAGGACACUUAUGGAGAACGUGGGUAGCACUGAAGCAGCAUUCUAGUUUCCAGUGCCAUCAACCUCAUACGUAUCUACCUGGUCUCUGAUCGAAGCUACCGUAAUGUGUUCUUGAGGUCAACAUGUUUUGUGGAAGUCACUGUAUUUGCCCCUUUAUGUCAAUUACCUAUUAUAAACCGAGAGAAAUGGGAAAAUUAAAAACCUGUUUUGAAUUAUUUUUAAUGCAGAACUAUUUUUUCAAGUGAAAUCUUAUACAGAAGUCUGGUAUAUGAAACAGAUAAAAAUGAACCAAUGAGAUUGAAGGGAAUGAGUAGCAUGUAAUCCUGCCCACUCUUCGGAGAAUUUGAGGCAACUUUGUAGAGCCUUAGGAGUUCAGUUUGUAUGUUACUGGGUAAUUUAAAGCAGAAAUUUUAAUCUGACUGCACUUAAGAAUCAUCUGAAGUGUUUGUAUUGGUUAGUCUUAUUUUUAAUACUGAUGUCCUGGUCUCUCUCCCCUCAAAAAAACUCUGCUGCUGGGACCAAGCACAUAGAUGCUUUUUAAAAAGCUCCCGAAAAUGACUCUAAUAUGCAGCCAGGAUUGAAAAUAACUACCCUACACAGCAUUUUUCCUGAUUCUGAGCACUCAGCUUUUCAUUGAUUUUCCCUAGGGCAAGUCCUUCAUCUUAUUCUGGGUCCUUGUGUUUUCUUUCUGAACCUACAAUUUCUCCAUAGGUCCCAUGGUUUUCAAAAUUUCUCAUUUUCCAUUUUCUGUCCUUUUAUAUUACCUACUUGAAAACCACAGUCAUCUUUCAAAACAAAACACUGCCUGUUUCUUAGGUCUUUAU